CAGCAGUAGCCGCGGGAAUACAGAGGGUGCGAGCGUUAAUCGGAUUUACUGGGCGUAAAGCGUGCGUAGGCGGCUUUUUAAGUCGGAUGUGAAAUCCCUGAGCUUAACUUAGGAAUUGCAUUCGAUACUGGGAAGCUAGAGUAUGGGAGAGGAUGGUAGAAUUCCAGGUGUAGUGGUGAAAUGCGUAGAGAUCUGGAGGAAUACCGAUGGCGAAGGCAGCCAUCUGGCCUAAUACUGACGCUGAGGUACGAAAGCAUGGGGAGCAAACAGGAUUAGAUACCCCGGUAGUCCCUGUCUCUUAUAC
rnacentral:rRNA from 1 species